rfam:Colletotrichum fioriniae PJ7 Scaffold_423.1, whole genome shotgun sequence.
UCCCCGAUGGCACAAUUGGCUAGCGCGUCAGACUGUUACGAUCGAGGUUGUUCACUGUGGGCAAAAGAGAUAGAUAUCUGGAGGUUGGUGGUUCGAGCCCACCUUGGGGAG